UACGUAGGGUGCAAGCGUUGUCCGGAAUCAUUGGGCGUAAAGCGCGCGUAGGCGGCCUUGUAAGUCCGUUGUGAAAGUCAAAGGCUCAACCUUUGAAAGCCGAUGGAUACUGCAAGGCUGGAGUCCGGAAGAGGCGAGUGGAAUUCCUGGUGUAGCGGUGGAAUGCGCAGAUAUCAGGAGGAACACCAAUAGCGAAGGCAGCUCGCUGGGACGGUACUGACGCUAAGGCACGAAAGCGUGGGGAGCGAACAGG
rnacentral:rRNA from 1 species